rnacentral:rRNA from 1 species
GUACGCUGGCGGCACGCCUAACACAUGCAAGUCGAACGAAGUAGCAAUACUUAGUGGCAGACGGGUGAGUAACAUGUAGGUAUCUGCCCUUUGGCCUGGAAUAACACGAGGAAACUUGUGCUAAUACCGGAUAAGUCUUUACGGAGAAAGCUUUAUGCACCAUUGGAUGAGCCUGCACUUGAUUAGUUUGUUGGUGGGGUAAUGGCCUACCAAGACUGUGAUCAAUAGCUGAUUUGAGAGGAUGAUCAGCCACAUUGGGACUGAGACACGGCCCAAACUCCUACGGGAGGCAGCAGUGGGGAAUCUUGCACAAUGGAGGAAACUCUGAUGCAGCGAUGUCGCGUGAGUGAAGAAGGCCUUUGGGUUGUAAAGCUCUUUCGUCGGGGAAGAAAAUGACUGUACCCGAAUAAGAAGGUCCGGCUAACUUCG